UAUGCUGUAAGGUAAGCUUUGACCAAAGAAGCCAACAUGCAAUCGAAUAUCGUGCAUCGAAUUUCGAAUCUCGAAUUGGAGCUAGCCGUCGAAGGUGGGGCCGAUAAUUGGGGUGAAGUCGUAACAAGGUAGCCGUAUCGGAAGGUGCGGCUGGAUCACCUCCUUU
rnacentral:ncRNA from 1 species